GGCAGCGCGGCUCUAGCGUACGUUGGUCUUACUUAGACCUAGGCCUAGGCCUCAAGCCGUGAUCUCCCUGCCUCCGCGGCGCAUGCAGACAGGCCGAGGGGAUGCGGUCUGCAAGGCCUUUCCACCCCGCAGGCGGCUGCCCUCGUUCACGCAAAGCCGGGGAGGCAGUGAGGACGCCGGCCAGCCUGGAACCUCCGCGCGGAUAACGCAACGUGGGCCCAAGAUUUGGGUAACAGUUUAUCUGAAAAUGGAAAAGAAGAAAAGCCACAACCAUAAAACCCAUAGUUGGCACACAUUACAUGUUACUACAGCGUGUUGCAGCUGAUAAAAGACAAUAGACCUAUGAAGUAAAGAAUGGUGAUUCUUGAAAGGAGGAAAACAAAUGAGGUGAGUGAGACUAAUGACUGUCCUAAUUUCUGCCCUAAAUCUGCAGAGAAAAUCAGUGGGACAAAAGGUUGGUUCUUUGAUGACAUUCAUAAAACAGACCUGUGGUUGCACUGAUCAUAAGAAGAGAGGAGACACAGAUGACUCAUAUUAACAAUGGAAGACCCUAUCACUAUGAAUACCUACAGAUUCGGCAAAAACAGAAAAGAGUAUUUGAACAACUUCUGAUGACUAAGGAAUCCUUGAUCCAUGCAAAUUGCCAGAACUGACACCCCCACAAAAAAACAGAAAAUCUGAGUAAACCUGUAUUUGUUAAAUUUAAACUGUAAGUAAAAUCCUUCCCACCAAGAAAAUGGCAGGCACUGAUGGCCUCAAUCGUGAAUUGUGUCAUGCUUUUAAGGAAGCUUGUUGAUUUUGUACAAACCCUUUCAGGAAGUAAAAGUG